GAAAUGCGAUAAGUAGUGUGAAUUGCAGAAUUCAGUGAAUCAUCGAAUCUUUGAACGCACAUUGCGCCUCCUGGUAUUCCGGGAGGCAUGCCUGUUCGAGCGUCAUUAAAAACCACUCAAGCUCUCUUUAUUGGUGUGCUUGGUAUUGGAGGAAGAGUUCACCACCCCCCCAGGGUCCGUGUCCUCCCCUCCGAAAUCCAAUGGCGGAUCGGCCCCGGUGGCCCCGGCGUAGUAAGUCUUCUUUCGCCUCGGUGACCGAGUCCAUCCUGCCGCAAACCCCCCCAAUUUCUUUACAAGGUUGACCUCGGAUCAGGUAGGGAUACCCGCUGAACUUAA
rnacentral:misc_RNA from 1 species